CAGGAAGGGGUUACUCAAUAUGUGGUUUGACCUAUAAAACUUCAAUGCUACUAUAUCCUCCUCCUCUCAGGCUGAUGGAAAAUAACCAACCAAUAGUACAAAUGCCAAAGCAAUUCAAACCGCAAGUGACAAUUCAAGAAGAGAUGAACAUCAACAGAAGAUCCAUAAGUGAAAUAACAAAAGUUAUGUGGGACUCUGGUAAUGAGGUAUAGAAUUCAAAAGCAAUAUGCAACUCACACUAACAUCUAUACUCAAGGAAAACAAAAGGACAUAUUCAGUGUCUACUACGAAGCAACAAAGGAAGAAAAUACAAAAAACACUUUAAAGUUGUCUUUCAAUUUAUUUUAAAUAUUGAUUAAGUAGUUCUUUAAAUUUGUGUUUCAUACAUUUUAUGGAUAAUUGAGGAUGUUAAAGAUUUAAUUCUUCAUUUUAUUUUAAA